AAACUGAAGAGUUUGAUCAUGGCUCAGAUUGAACGCUGGCGGCAGGCUUAACACAUGCAAGUCGAGCGGGGAAGUGUAGCUUGCUACCUAACCUAGCGGCGGACGGGUGAGUAAUGCUUAGGAAUCUGCCUAUUAGUGGGGGACAACAUUCCGAAAGGAAUGCUAAUACCGCAUACGUCCUACGGGAGAAAGCAGGGGAUCUUCGGACCUUGCGCUAAUAGAUGAGCCUAAGUCGGAUUAGCUAGUUGGUGGGGUAAAGGCCU
rnacentral:rRNA from 1 species